AUAAUAGCCCACCAGCUUAGAGCAUCCAUCUGCCUAAACAGAAGAAGCCUCUCCAUGACAGUUACUCUCUAGGCACAAGCUUGCAGGCAGCAAAAUCAAAUGUGUUCUCCCAAAGAAUUUAAUAUCCAGUAAACCCCAGGAGUCAGCAAGUUUAUACCAUCUAUAAAGUCUCAGUGGGAGUGAGGACAGAGCUGUAGACAGGUCAAACGUUUGACAAUAUGUGGAAAAGGACGAAGAACACAGGUCCCACUACCAACAGACGAUGUUUCUCCCUCGUUCAUCAAUACAUUCAGCGUUUUAAUGAGGUGUCUGGCAACAAGUCAGCUGUGAUCCGGAGAAGAUCUAAGACUGCUGGAGUAAUGAUCACGCAGUAUUUAGUAGACAUACCAGAGGGAAAAAGCACCCCAGAUGUCGAGAGUAAACCCAUCCCAGUUACUAUCAAGGAAGGAAAAUCAGCUGUUU